UAGGGAAUCUUCGGCAAUGGACGAAAGUCUGACCGAGCAACGCCGCGUGAGUGAAGAAGGUUUUCGGAUCGUAAAACUCUGUUGUUAGAGAAGAACAAGUGGGAGAGUAACUGUUCCCACCUUGACGGUAUCUAACCAGAAAGCCACGGCUAACUACGUGCCAGCAGCCGCGGUAAUACGUAGGUGGCAAGCGUUGUCCGGAUUUAUUGGGCGUAAAGCGAGCGCGGGCGGUUUCUUAAGUCUGAUGUGAAAGCCCUCGGCUUAACCGAGGAAGGUCAUUGGAAACUGGGGAACUUGAAUGCAGAAGAGGAGAGUGGAAUUCCAUGUGUAGCGGUGAAAUGCGUAGAUAUAUGGAGGAACACCAGUGGCGAAGGCGACUCUCUGGUCUGUAAUUGACGCUGAGGCUCGAAAGCGUGGGGAGCAAACAGG
rnacentral:rRNA from 1 species